UUUAAGCAUAUUACUAAGCGGAGGAAAAGAAACUAACAAGGAUUCCCCCAGUAGCGGCGAGCGAACAGGGAAGAGUCCAGCACCGAACCCCGCAGGCUGCCGCCUGUCGUGGCAUGUGGUGUUUGGGAGGGUCCACUACCCCGACGCCUCGCGCCGAGUCCAAGUCCAACUUGAAUGAGGCCACGGCCCGUAGAGGGUGCCAGGCCCGUAGCGGCCGGUGCGAGCGUCGGCGGGACCUCUCCUUCGAGUCGGGUUGCUUGAGAGUGCAGCUCCAAGUGGGUGGUAAACUCCAUCUGAGACUAAAUAUGACCACGAGACCGAUAGCGAACAAGUAC
rnacentral:rRNA from 1 species